AAGGAAGGAAGGAAAAGCUGUCUUGAUAACUUGUUUUAGAAUGAAGGAGUAGAUAUCAGACACUGACUUGAGACACCAAGGCUGAUGAGCCCAGUGGAUCAAACGGAUGAACAGUUGCUAAACUUUGCUUGUAUCUUGCUUGGCAUCUAUCUCUUCCUGUCCUGCAGCAGCAGCACCCUGGUCCCUGUUAUUAUAAACUGCUCAGGCUAGUUUCCAGUUUUGUUUGGUUUUGGUUUUGGUUUUGGUUUUGCGGUUGCUUUGUCUUGUUUCGUUCGUGACUACUGUCACCCCAGCAAGUUCUGUUUUCUUGGUGAACCCUGAAACAGGCACCCAGGAAAAAAAAAUGUAAAGUCUGUUUGAAGGGACACCAGCUUUCAUCAUGAUCUCUGGAAGAGCUGGAAGGCUCUCCAAGUGGACUGAAGAUCACCCCGGAGGCUAGCGAUGGAGCUCAGGCUUUCCACUCAACAACUCCGUACAUGCCACGGUUCCUGGAGUGGUGCAAAGAGGAAAGAAAUGCAGAAACCAGCAGAAGGAAACAGGAAGUGAUGGGCUGAGCUCCCAGCCACCGUGUGAGAAAGGACAAGGCUCAAAAGCAACAGGGCCAAGCAUCCAUGGAGCCAAAAUAAAGUUAAUUCUCAAAAGCUGACUUCCUACAGUAGUCCGUCAGAAGGACCGGAAGUUGCUAACACAACCUCCACUGAGAGUCGUUGUGUGCUGUUUCUGUUCCCACCCAUCACUGGUUUUACCCAGUCCCACUCAACUCACAAAGUUCCAGUGAGAUGAGACUUACCAACACGUGAUAAAGGUAAGGCGCCAAACUAAACCCCAACGACUGCUGUUUAACAGGCUCGCCUCACCUAGCAAGAGAGAAAGGAGAAGGCCAGGCACCUAAUGUCCCUUUGCACAGCAUGCUCUCGGCAGGCUUCACUUACACUAGGCACCACCUGCUGAAGAUUUCAACACCCAUCAUUAGCGCCACAGGCUGGCGACCAAUCUUGCAACAUCUGGCCUCUGGGGACAUCCACUCAUUCAGAGUAUCUACUGUGUACUAGGGACUGCCUGGGUGCUAGGGCGUGAGGCUCUGUUUUCAUUCUAGAAGUUAAGGUAAGAAGCAAAACACAAAGUGUGUCAGAUACGUACACAAGAGGAUGACAAUCCUGUGCCACCUCGAAGUUAAAACAGCAUGAUAAUAGUAGAUCACUAUGAGGCUGGGAGGUGGGUGGCUGGGCCAGAGAGGGUCGUCAGGAACCAUUCUCCAAAAAGGAAAAUUCCAGCAGAAGUGCGUAGGAGGAAACCAACCCGAAAUGGGAAUGUCUGAGGGAAGAGAGCAAACACGCAGAAAGGCCCUGAAGCAGGAACAGGGACAGACGGAAAGAAAGUAGGUCAACUGUCUCUGGAGAUGGUUUUUAAGUUGAGAAGAGUGUAGAGUAAAUGGAGAGGUUGGCCAGGUUAGGCUAAUGCGUGCAGGUGUGAUGAGGAGUUUGCAGUUUUAUUCUGGUAUCUACGUGAUGGAAACGUACAGCAAGGCCGAAGUAUGAUUGGAUUUUUAAU
rnacentral:sRNA from 1 species